GAUGUUAGUGGCUUGAACCAACAUGAAACAACAAGUGAACUUAGCUGAGAAUGAUGGUAGUUUAAAAAUAAUGCAGCAUUAGCUAGGUAAGUGAUUAUGUGUAUGUUGGCUCACUCAUAAGUCAAUAUAUAUGUGUUUAUGUUCUGUGUCAACCUCUGGUGUCAUGUUGGCUCACCCUUUAGACGUUAUGUGUGUUUGUGUUCUGUUUCAACCUCUAGUGCGGUGUUGAUUCACUUGAUUGUUCUUAGGUCACAAAAACAAUCUUACAAAUAGAGUUUCUGCUGUUGUCACUGGUUUUAGAGAGUACCUUCGUGAAUGAAGAUAAAAAGUCAUUUAUGUUAUUUUUUAAAAGCCAAGAUAUAAUAUUGUUAAUCCUCAUACCAUUUACUAAAAAACUUUAUAAAUAUUGUUACGAUGUUAUAAUUCAAAUUGUUGUAAUUAGUAAUUUUGAUCAUUUCAUUAUUAUACUGUAAAAAAUAUUUUUUAUUUAUAACAUUUAUUUCACAUAUAUUAAAAACAUGAGGAAUAAAUAUUACACUGAGGAAAAUUUUAAGCAAAAUAUAGAAUUUUUAAAUGUUAUUAGAAUAUCAAUAUGUAAUA